GACGAACGCUGGCGGCGUGCUUAACACAUGCAAGUCGAACGGAAAGGCCCUGCUUUUGUGGGGUGCUCGAGUGGCGAACGGGUGAGUAACACGUGAGUAACCUGCCCUUGACUUUGGGAUAACUUCAGGAAACUGGGGCUAAUACCGGAUAGGAGCUCCUGCUGCAUGGUGGGGGUUGGUAAGUUUCGGCGGUUGGGGAUGGACUCGCGGCUUAUCAGCUUGUUGGUGGGGUAGUGGCUUACCAAGGCUUUGACGGGUAGCCGGCCUGAGAGGGUGACCGGCCACAUGGGGACUGAGAUACGGCCCAGACUCCUACGGGAGGCAGCAGUGGGGAAUAUUGCACAAUGGGCGGAAGCCUGAUGCAGCAACGCCGCGUGCGGGAUGACGGCCUUCGGGUUGUAAACCGCUUUCGCCUGUGACGAAGCGUGAGUGACGGUAAUGGGUAAAGAAGCACCGGCUAACUACGUG
rnacentral:rRNA from 1 species